GGAUGCGAUCAUACCAGCACUAAAGCACCGGAUCCCAUCAGAACUCCGUAGUUAAGCGUGCUUGAGAUUAGUACUAGGAUGGGUGACCUCCUGGGAAGUCCUCGUGUUGCAUUCC
rnacentral:rRNA from 16 species